CCCUUAGAUGUUCUGGGCUGCACGCGCGCUACACUGAUGCGUUCAUCGAGUUUACGCCCUGGCCCGGCAGGGUUGGGUAAUCUUUUGAAAACGCAUCGUGAUGGGGAUAGAUUAUUGCAAUUAUUAAUCUUCAACGAGGAAUUCCUAGUAAACGCAGAUCAUCAAUCUGCAUUGAUUACGUCCCUGCCCUUUGUACACACCGCCCGUCGCACCUACCGAUUGGAUGGUCCGGUGAAGCCUCGGGAUUGUGGUUCUUGCCGCUUUAUUGUGGCGUGACCGCGAGAACUUGUCUAAACCUUAUCAUCUAGAGGAAGGUGAAGUCGUAACA
rnacentral:rRNA from 1 species